rnacentral:rRNA from 1 species
UACGUGCCAGCAGCGCGGUAAUACGUAGGUGGCCAGCGUUAUCCGGAUUUAUUGGGCGUAAAGCGAGCGCAGGCGGUCUUUUUAAGUCUAAUGUGAAAGCUUUCGGCUCAACCGAAGAAGUGCAUUGGAAACUGGGAGACUUGAGUGCAGAAGAGGACAGUGGAACUCCAUGUGUAGCGGUGAAAUGCGUAGAUAUAUGGAAGAACACCAGUGGCGAAGGCGGCUGUCUGGUCUGCAACUGACGCUGAGGCUCGAAAGCAUGGGUAGCGAACAGGAUUAGAUACCCUGGUAGUCCAUGCCGUAAACGAUGAUUACUAAGUGUUGGAGGGUUUCCGCCCUUCAGUGCUGCAGCUAACGCAUUAAGUAAUCCGCCUGGGGAGUACGACCGCAAGGUUGAAACUCAAAAGAAUUGACGGGGGCCCGCACAAGCGGUGGAGCAUGUGGUUUAAUUCGAAGCUACGCGAAGAACCUUACCAGGUCUUGACAUCUUCUGACAGUCUAAGAGAUUAGAGGUUCCCUUCGGGGACAGAAUGACAGGUGGUGCAUGGUUGUCGUCAGCUCGUGUCGUGAGAUGUUGGGUUAAGUCCCGCAACGAGCGCAACCCUUAUUACUAGUUGCCAGCAUUAAGUUGGGCACUCUAGUGAGACUGCCGGUGACAAACCGGAGGAAGGUGGGGACGACGUCAAAUCAUCAUGCCCCUUAUGACCUGGGCUACACACGUGCUACAAUGGAUGGUACAACGAGUCGCGAGACCGCGAGGUUAAGCUAAUCUCUUAAAACCAUUCUCAGUUCGGACUGUAGGCUGCAACUCGCCUACACGAAGUCGGAAUCGCUAGUAAUCGCGGAUCAGCAUGCCGCGGUGAAUACGUUCCCGGGCCUUGUACACACCGCCCGUCACACCAUGAGAGUUUGUAACACCCAAAGCCGGUGGGGUAACCUUUUAGGAGCUAGCCCGUCUAAUGUGAUCCAGUGUUAAACCACUACUCCUCCCUCAAUGGCC